CCGACCCGCACGAAAGGCGUAACGAUUUGGGCACUGUCUCAACGAGAGACUCGGUGAAAUCAUAGUACCUGUGAAGAUGCAGGUUACCCGCGACAGGACGGAAAGACCCCGUGGAGCUUUACUGUAGCCUGAUAUUGAAAUUCGGCACAGCUUGUACAGGAUAGGUAGGAGCCUUUGAAACGUGAGCGCUAGCUUACGUGGAGGCGCUGGUGGGAUACUACCCUAGCUGUGUUGGCUUUCUAACCCGCACCACUUAUCGUGGUGGGAGACAGUGUCAGGCGGGCAGUUUGACUGGGGCGGUCGCCUCCUAAAAGGUAACGGAGGCGCUCAAAGGUUCCCUCAGAAUGGUUGGAAAUCAUUCAUAGAGUGUAAAGGCAUAAGGGAGCUUGACUGCGAGACCUACAAGUCGAGCAGGGUCGAAAGACGGACUUAGUGAUCCGGUGGUUCCGCAUGGAAGGGCCAUCGCUCAACGGAUAAAAGCUACCCCGGGGAUAACAGGCUUAUCUCCCCCAAGAGUUCACAUCGACGGGGAGGUUUGGCACCUCGAUGUCGGCUCAUCGCAUCCUGGGGCUGUAGUCGGUCCCAAGGGUUGGGCUGUUCGCCCAUUAAAGCGGUACGCGAGCUGGGUUCAGAACGUCGUG
rnacentral:rRNA from 1 species